rnacentral:rRNA from 1 species
UACGGGGGGGGCAAGCGUUGUUCGGAAUUACUGGGCGUAAAGGGCGCGUAGGUGGCCAACUAAGUCAGACGUGAAAUCCCUCGGCUUAACCGGGGAACUGCGUCUGAUACUGGAUGGCUUGAGAUUGGGAGAGGGAUGCGGAAUUCCAGGUGUAGCGGUGAAAUGCGUAGAUAUCUGGAGGAACACCGGUGGCGAAGGCGGCAUCCUGGACCAACACUGACACUGAAACGCGAAAGCCAGGGGAGCAAACGGG